GGGCUGCUCAGUGGAGUAGUGGUUAGCACUUUCGCCUUGCAGCAAGAAGAUCCCUGGUUCGAAUCCCGGGGUGGGCCUGGGAUCUUUCUGCAUGGAGUUUGCAUGUUCUCCCUGAGCAUGCGUGGGUUUUCUCCGGGUACUCCGGCUUCCUCCCACAGUCCAAAAAUAUGCUGAGGUUAAUUGAGUACUCUAAAUUGCC